CUACGGGAGGCAGCAGUGAGGAAUAUUGCACAAUGGAGGAAACUCUGAUGCAGCAACGCCGCGUGGAGGAUGACGCAUUUCGGUGUGUAAACUCCUUUUAUUAGGGAAGAUAAUGACGGUACCUAAUGAAUAAGCACCGGCUAACUCCGUGCCAGCAGCCGCGGUAAU
rnacentral:rRNA from 1 species